rnacentral:misc_RNA from 1 species
AGCAUAUAUAAGAUUGAAGUUUUAGCUUCUUUUUUUCUUGGAGAUUGUUCUUGGGUUUUAUAUUUCCUUUUUCUUCAAGAUUGUUCUUGUUUUUUAUAUUUCAGAAGCUUUGUUGAAGAUUGGUAUUUGGGAUAUUUGAAUUUUUCAAUUUUUUUUUGUGUCAUUUAGAGGGUAUUUGUAGAUUAUAUACUCUGCUAAAUGGCACAAUUACCUCCAAAAAUCCCAAACAUUCAAUCAACUUGGCCUGAUUUCUCCCACCAAAAGUUCAUGCCGCCGUCUAUUAAUAAAGCAGCCACGGCUGCCGCCAGCCAAAACCCGUCGUGGGUAGACGAAUUCCUCGACUUCUCGUCGGCGAGACGUGGGACUCACAGGCGAUCGGUAAGCGACUCCAUUGCCUUCCUGGAGCAACCAUUGCUAGAAGAAUGUCGUGGCGCGGAGGGUGCAGUAGUAGUAUCUCAUCAUCAUCUUCAUGGUUCCGGACAUAACAGUGGCAGCAGCGACUUCGAUAAAUUUGACGAUGAACAAUUCAUGUCUAUGUUCACCUAUGAUAUCUCCAAUGCGGUGGCUCCGUCGUGCUCGAACCCUUCAACGCCGUCGGAUCAUAACAGCAUUAAUGAUGAGAAAGAUACAACGCCGUCGUCCGAUCAGAAUAAUAAGCAACACAAGACAAGAAAUGAAUCCGAUGAGGUGCAAAGCCAAUGCCAGCAAGAGAAUCAAACUCCAUCAAGCGCAACCAAUACCACUUCUUCUGAUCGGAUUAUUGAUCCCAAGAGGGUCAAAAGAAUCUUGGCAAACAGGCAAUCAGCACAGAGGUCACGAGUGAGGAAGCUGCAAUACAUUUCUGAGCUUGAACGUAGUGUAACCUCAUUGCAAGCUGAGGUUUCAGUGCUGUCACCAAGAGUUGCAUUUCUAGACCAUCAACGCUUGCUUCUAAAUGUUGAUAAUAGUGCUCUUAAGCAAAGAAUUGCUGCUUUAGCCCAAGACAAGAUUUUCAAAGAUGCUCAUCAAGAAGCACUAAAGAGGGAAAUAGAGAGACUGAGACAAGUAUAUCACCAACAAAACCUCAAGAAGAUGGAAAAUGCAGUACCAUCACCUUCCCCAGCAACUGACCUCACUACUGCUCCUGCUGAGAAAGAACAGCUUCUUCUCCAAAUUUAAUUCCUUUUUCCAUUGAGUUUUUUUCAAGCAUGGUAAUUAUAACUCUCUUUAUCAAGAAACUGGUAGAGAAAUAAAUUAAAGAAAAAACAAAUAAUGAUUCAUGCCGAAGGGGGAGGAGGGUGUUAUUGGUGCAGCUCUCUGCUGCUAUCCUGUGCAUUCACGUGAUGUGUUCACAUCUGAUUGGGGACCACUCAACCUUACAUGAUUGAUUGCAGAGAAAAUCAUGUGCAGCUGUGAUUAAAAAUUAAUUAUGAGGGCAAAAAAAAGAAUGAAGAUCAAGAAAGAAAAUUGUCUGCUUUAACUGAUUAGCUAUAGCUAUAGCUAGGAGGCCAGGGGUGUGAUUGCUGAUUCUUAAUUUUUAUUUUAGUCUGCUUAUUCUUUUUAUGAGUGAUGUUGGAAGCAAAAGAACAGUGGUUUUAGCGUUGGGAUGUAUGAAAGGGAAGUGGUUGUCAGUUAUCAGUUGGGAAGUGUUUGAUACUUUGAUGUCAGAUUGUUUGUGCUUUUUUUAGUGCUGGAUCUCUUUUUUGUAAUAAUUUUUAUUUUUCAAUCAUUUCCCAACCCAAAAAAAAAAAAGGACAAAAAGAAAAGUGUAGAUAUCCAUUUCUAAUUGUAUAUAAUGAAAAUUUGUAAAAAUUUGGGUUAUGGAUAUGAUUGAUGUGCAUGGAAUGGAACAUCACAUCUGCAUUAUUAAUUUAUCAGGUAUGAGAAAAUAGUAUGCAAAUUAAUUGUAAUAUCAUUUUGCUGAUUCCAAAUGAAAGCUCUCGGAAUGUCUUCC